ensembl:lncRNA
CGAGCACGGCUGCACUGAAGGCACAGUCUUUCGGAUAUAAACUUAUGGAAAAGAUGGCAAGGUGAAGGAUACAGGAUGAGUGUCGACGCUUCUCCAGAUGGUGUUUGCACUGUGGGAUGAGGGUGGCGAGGGAGCACCUGCACAUCUCAUCGUGUGUUGGGAAUGCAGUAUCAUAAGAUAUAGGGGUGAAUAAAACCCAAUUAGUUGAUGGACGUCGACGUUCAUGCCUGUUAAAAGAUUAUGCUUUCACAGUGUGAGGUAGUAGAUUGUAUAGUUGUGGGAUAGUGAUUUUAUCCUGUCUGGAAGAUAACUAUACAACCUAUUGCCUUCCCUGAGGGGCGGAGAUUCACAGUCAGUUUACCUCUUUAAAAUGAACUGUUUGUUAACGAAUAAAUAUAUUAUUUUAUUUGUGUAUGUAAGUGCUUGUGUGUUUCUGAAUUAAUAAAUGCCAUUCAUUGUGUCUCAUGGCCUAUUAUCU